ncrna:unclassified sequences skipping-rope RNA
GAUUAUUGAGGGUAGAACAGGCAUCUACCGCACCCUUAAGCAGGGUAUAAAGAGAUGUGGGAUACGCCGCCCCACCAAUAAUC